UGGGGAAUAUUGGACAAUGGGGGGAACCCUGAUCCAGCCAUGCCGCGUGUGUGAAGAAGGCCUUAUGGUUGUAAAGCACUUUAAGCGAGGAGGAGGGUACUGGUAUUAAUACUACCAGCUACUGGACGUUACUCGCAGAAUAAGCACCGGCUAACUCUGUGCCAGCAGCCGCGGUAAUACAGAGGGUGCGAGCUUUAAUCGGAUUUACUGGGCGUAAAGCGUGCGUAGGCGGCUAAUUGAGUCGGAUGUGAAAUCCCCGAGCUUAACUUGGGAAUUGCAUUCGAAACUGGUUAGCUAGAGUGUGGGAGAGGAUGGUAGAAUUCCAGGUGUAGCGGUGAAAUGCGUAGAGAUCUGGAGGAAUACCGAUGGCGAAGGCAGCCAUCUGGACUAACACUGACGCUGAGGUACGAAAGCAUGGGGAGCAAACAGG
rnacentral:rRNA from 1 species